rnacentral:rRNA from 1 species
AAUUUUCCGCAAUGGGCGAGAGCCUGACGGAGCAAUGCCGCGUGGAUGAUGAAGGCUUUUGAGUCGUAAAACCCUUUUCUUAGUGAAGAAAAAAAGACGGUAGCUGAGGAAUAAGCAUCGGCUAAUUCCGUGCCAGCAGCCGCGGUAAUACGGAAGAUGCAAGCGUUAUUCGGAAUUAUUGGGCGUAAAGCGUCUGUAGGUGGCUUUUUAAGUCUACUGUUAAAUAUCAAGGCUUAACCUUGAAAAAGCGGUGCGAAACUAAAAAGCUUGAGUUUAGUAGAGGUAAAGGGAAUUCUCGGUGUAGUGGUGAAAUGCGUAGAUAUCGGGAAGAACACCUGUAGCGAAAGCGCUUUACUGGGCUAAAACUGACACUGAGAGACGAAAGCUAGGGGAGCAAAUAGGAUUAGAUACCCUAGUAGUCCUAGCUGUA